rnacentral:rRNA from 1 species
AGCGAACGCUGGCGGCAGGCCUAACACAUGCAAGUCGAACGAAGCCUUCGGGCUUAGUGGCGGACGGGUGAGUAACACGUGGGAACGUACCUUUUGGUUCGGAACAACUCAGGGAAACUUGAGCUAAUACCGGAUGAGCCCUUAGGGGGAAAGAUUUAUCGCCGAAAGAGCGGCCCGCGUUAGAUUAGCUAGUUGGUGAGGUAAAGGCUCACCAAGGCAACGAUCUAUAGCUGGUCUGAGAGGAUGAUCAGCCACACUGGGACUGAGACACGGCCCAGACGCCUACGGGAGGCAGCAGUGGGGAAUCUUGCGCAAUGGGCGAAAGCCUGACGCAGCCAUGCCGCGUGAAUGAUGAAGGUCUUAGGAUUGUAAAAUUCUUUUACCAGGGGCGAUAAUGACGGUACCUGGAGAAAAAGCCCCGGCUAACUGCGUGCCAGCAGCCGCCGUAAGAC